ensembl:lncRNA
GAAAAAAUAUUUCUGCCAUCACAAGCUGUCUGGCAGCUCCAUUAUAGGAUUUUGUCUGAAUUCUUUGAGGUUGUCCCUCAAUUCCACUGUAUCGCAGCUAACAGGGAAGGCUCUUAUUUCCUUUAACAUACUCGGUAGUGGAAAGCGCCCAGGGAUCAAAGGAUGGAAGUGAUAAAAUGCUUCCUUAGAUGCGUUUCCAGAGGCUGUCACCUGCUCAGAGGAUUGGAGGAUCCAAGAGCAAAAGAACUUGAAAGAAUCUUUUACAUCUAAGACACCCCAGUGAAAGCAUUCAGAGGGAGAGCUCCAUCCUCUAAAACAGCGAGCUGGCCACCCCCAACAUCCAGUCACUCUUUAAGAUUGACCUCUUCAGGGAGCCCAACCCUGAAGAGAGCCUGUUUCCUGGAGAACCAACAAGGGCACCAUCAGGACAGGAAUCCUAUUCAAGGAGAGACAGAUUCCAGCUUCAUUUCCAGGCCAUGGUCCACAGAAAUCUCGCAAUUCCUUGGAAGGACAGGGAUGGCAGCAAAGGAUAACAUUUGGGUCUUUAGUAGCCCAGGCUGAUGACACUGGCUUCACAUUCUGCUUGUUUUUGUUCUCC